CAAUAGCGUAUAUUAAAGUUGUUGCAGUUAAAAAGCUCGUAGUUGGAUUUCGGGGCAGCCUGGCCGGUCCGCCGCAAGGCGAGUACUGGUCAGCCGCCCUUCCUCUCGAAAGCCCCGACUGCUCUUUAUUGCAGUGGUCGGGUAGUUCGGGACGUUUACUUUGAAAAAAUUAGAGUGUUCAAGGCAGGCCUACGCCUGAAUACAUUAGCAUGGAAUAAUGGAAGAGGACCUCGGUCCUAUUUUGUUGGUUUCCAGGACCGAAGUAAUGAUUAAGAGGGACAGUUGGGGGCAUUCGUAUUUAAUUGUCAGAGGUGAAAUUCUCGGAUUUAUGAAAGACGAACAACUGCGAAAGCAUUUGCCAAGGAUGUUUUCAUUAA
rnacentral:rRNA from 1 species